AUUGAACGCUGGCGGCAUGCCUUACACAUGCAAGUCGAACGGCAGCACGGGAGCAAUCCUGGUGGCGAGUGGCGAACGGGUGAGUAAUGUAUCGGAACGUACCUUUCAGUGGGGAUAACGUAGCGAAGUUACGCUAAUACCGCAUAUUCUGUGAGCAGGAAAGCAGGGGAUCGCAAGACCUUGCGCUGAUUGAGCGGCCGAUAUCAGAUUAGCUAGUUGGUGAGGUAAAGGCUCACCAAGGCGACGAUCUGUAGCGGGUCUGAGAGGAUGAUCCGCCACACUGGAACUGAGACACGGUCCAGACUCCUACGGGAGGCAGCAGUGGGGAAUUUUGGACAAUGGGCGCAAGCCUGAUCCAGCCAUGCCGCGUGAGUGAAGAAGGCC
rnacentral:rRNA from 1 species